AAAGAAUGUUGCAUAGUGGUUUUGGAAAUGGAGGGGGGUAAAGGGGGCUGCAUUGAUCUGGGUUGCCGAAGAGUUACUAUAAUGGUGGAAAAGUGUGCCGUGGGACUAUGGAGGGAAACGCUGAAAGGGAAAGGGAGGGAAUAUAGUGUUUGGUGGUCGGAGCAUCAUGCCAGCGAUGUCUGAUAUGGUGCAAGAUGAUUCGUUGAAUGUGAAGACCGGCAGAGAGUGAGAACGUUUGUUGGGAAAGCCUAUCUGAUUUGAAAAUCUGCUAAAAUAUUACAAAGUCGUGGACCGAUGUAACUGAGCACGGAGCAAGCACUCCACCGAUCGACACCUUAAAACUCUGCGACGAGUCCCCGGGGAUUGGCAUGGAUGGGUGCGAAUCUAGAGCAUGGGGAAUGUCAGAGAUCCAGUGGUAACGACCAGCUGCUAUUCGUCAGAACCGCGCUCUCUCAGAAGAUCCAUUAUAAUCUCCACUCAUCGAUCUGCACUUUCGUCUCAUUUUACACCGAAUCCCUUCAGUCAAUCAGCCUCCAACAGCACCCGAAAGCUCACAGCAGAUAAUCUGAAAAUCGUGACCAACGCUAAUCUUCUGACACGUUUUGUGGCGUUUAAAUGUUUAAUUUAUGUUUUUCUGUCGUGGAUAAUUGGGGUAUUUAUUUUUAGACUCCUCGUCUUUGGAUUUAAUGUUGAACAAGGGUACCGUUGCUGUCACUUAUUCAUUCAAAUAAAUGACACGUUAAA